UGUUCCAUUACAAAUACCAAAGAUGUUACAAUUGGUUUAAGAGAAAACGUUGCAUCAUUAAAUAUUUUAGAUAGUUUAGAUCGAUCAUUUUGAACUUAAAUUAAUUAAGUACUGAUACGAUUUGAGCCGAGAAUUUAUUUCCCAUUUACAUCGCCUACCAUGAUAAAAGAAAAGAAGCAAAAAAAGAAGGCUCAUUCUUGUGUGCGGCAUUGAAAGUUUGAUCUGUAAUAUCUUUAAUAAUAAUAAAUAUACUUAGGCAACCAUAACCAAAAAAAUAAGGAUGGUAGUUUCUGUAACGUGUUUCCACUUCUUUAUUUCUUUAAAGCAAGACAACCAGAGAACCAAAGAAAAAAAUAUCUAAGGGUAUAAAUUAUACAUUGUACAUCAAAAUGGUCUAGGCGAUAAAGGUAAAAAACAAUUAAAUUAAGAUUUUAAAAUUUAUUUGGAAAAUAUUAAAAUUAAGUACAUCUAAAUUUCUGUUGGAAGCACUGCUGAACAUUAGUAUCAGAAAUACAAACACUUAUCGUAUAUGAUCAAUUUAAAGAAGUAAACUAUCGAAAAUUCGAAAUAAAAAAAUUUAAACAAAAAGUUAAUAGAAAAAUUUAUGAGUGUAUACUACCCCUGUUGUAAAUUCCAUCUCACAAAUACUUAAAGGUAUACUUAUAUAUAUAUAUGGUGGCAUGUACCUACAGAAUUUUGGGGUAGUGAAGUUAUGUUAUAGCGAUAUUCAUCUUCUCAAAAUAAACAAAAUACGCAUUUAGCAUCAGGAAUUUUGAUUUUAAUUUUCAUACCUCUAAACAGUUUUUUCAGUUCCAAGGGUUAAUUUGUUUCAAAAGGAAAAUUACGCUAUCAAUUUCCCUUUUAAAAAAGCCUUCCUUUUCCAAUAAGGUGCCCAAAACCUCAGAGCAGUGGCAGAAGUUAGCGAAUGAUUAUAAUGAAAGACAGAAUUUCCCAAUGUGCUUGGGUAGCAUGGACGGAAAGCAUGUUAUCAUACAAUCACCCAAAUACAACGAAAGCGAAUAUUUCAAUUAUAAAGGCACCUUUAGCAUAGUUCUCUUUGCUAUAGUCGAUGCGAACUACAAUUUCUGAAGAAGUUUUAAAAAAUCUAGCUUUGCCAAGUCCUUGAGUAAAAAAAUGCUUUGCCUAGCUGAAAACACAUCACUUCCAGGAAGAAAUAAACCUAUACCAUAUGUUCUUGUAGCCGAUGAUGCUUUUCCAUUGUCACCAAACAUAAUGAAACAAUAUUUCGGACACCAAGAGCAUGGGUCUGUGCAACGCAUAUUUAAUUACCGUCUAAGCCGAGCAAGAAGAGUGGUUGAAAAUGUGUUUGGUAUAUUGGCCUCUGUGUUUCGUAUUUUCCGAAAACCUAUACUACUAGAACCUUCAAAAGUAGAAAGAAUUAUGCAAA